rnacentral:rRNA from 1 species
GCUGACGAGCGGCGGACGGGUGAGUAAUGCAUAGGAAUCUGCCCGAUAGUGGGGGAUAACCUGGGGAAACCCAGGCUAAUACCGCAUACGUCCUACGGGAGAAAGGGGGCUCCGGCUCCCGCUAUGGGAUGAGCCUAUGUCGGAUUAGCUAGUUGGUGAGGUAACGGCUCACCAAGGCCACGAUCCGUAGCUGGUCUGAGAGGAUGAUCAGCCACAUCGGGACUGAGACACGGCCCGAACUCCUACGGGAGGCAGCAGUGGGGAAUAUUGGACAAUGGGGGAAACCCUGAUCCAGCCAUGCCGCGUGUGUGAAGAAGGCCCUCGGGUUGUAAAGCACUUUCAGCGAGGAAGAACGCCUAGCGGUUAAUACCCGCUAGGAAAGACAUCACUCGCAGAAGAAGCACCGGCUAACUCCGUGCCAGCAGCCGCGGUAAUACGGAGGGUGCAAGCGUU